CACCCACCCAGUCCACCCGGAUAUGGACCCGCCUGGCCUAACGCUGGCACACACGCACACUCCGUCUCUGGCUUCCGCACCAAGCCUGGCCCAAACACACGUACACCGGUAACCUGGAAAUUAACCUCACUGGCAGAGCAGAGUAACCGGGCAGGGAGGUCCUCCAGGUUUUCCGGUGUGUCCGCGAGGGGAGGGGAGGGCAGGUGAUUGUCACAGGUAAGCUCGGCCUGGGCAUUUUCACGCGGAGGAGUUAUAAUAAAUGCGUACUGGAAACCAGGGCCGGGACUUGGAGUGAGGCAAGAGAACUCGCAGACUCCUGCCAAGUGCCUUUUUAAAUUGAGUGCCCUCAGCGCCGUACUUGGCUCACCUAAUCCCCACCGUGAUAGACACGCAUCAACCUGGGAAGUCAAAACUUAUCUGGUGUUAUCAUUACAGCACCGAGCACCUGGGAACCAGAAGCUCUGAACAGGUAAGGCUGCACUGAAGGCAAGGGAAAUCAACAGACAUUUACAAACAUACUGAAGUAUUCUGAGUUGGCUGUACUUCUGCCCCCACCCCCACCUCAAGUUUCACAGGUCACAAGAGCUAAACUCAAGGAGCUGAUCUUAAGGAUCCACACCUGAGGAGCCUCUCCUCUCCUGGACUGGACUUAGAUGACAAGAUUCUGGACUUCAAGCUGGGAAGCCAGGUGCCAUGUCAUAAGGACACUCAGGCAGCCUAUGGAGAAGAAUUAAGGCAUGCCAGCCACUAUGUGAAUCACCUUGAAAGCAGAUUUUGGGGGGCCAGCUAACCACCACAUGAGUGACCUUGGAAGCAGAUCAUCACCCAAUCAAGCCUUGAGAUGACUGCAGCCCUGACAGACAGCUUGACUGCAGCCUCAUGAGAGUCAGAAGGACCUGGCUAACCUGCUUCCGGAUUCCUGGCCCCCAGAAACUGUGAAAUAAUAAAUGUUUUUGUUUUAAACCACUAAAUUUGGGAUAAUUGUUACUCAGCAAUAGAUA